rnacentral:rRNA from 1 species
GGAUAACUUUUGGAAACCGAUAGCUAAUACCCGCAUAAUAUUAAUUAUUGCAUGAUAAUUGAUUGAAAGAUACAAGCGCAUCACUAGUAGAUGGACCUGCGUUGUAUUAGCUAGUUGGUAAGGUAAGAGCUUACCAAGGCGACGAUACAUAGCCGACCUGAGAGGGUGAUCGGCCACACUGGGACUGAGACACGGCCCAGACUCCCUACGGGAGGCGGCAGUAGGGAAUCUUCGGCAAUGGACGAAAGUCUGACCGAGCAACGCCGCGUGAGUGAAGAAGGUUUUCGGAUCGUAAAGCUCUGUUGUAAGUCAAGAACGGGUGUGAGAGUGGAAAGUUACACAGUGACGUAGCUACCAGAA